CUUCUUUCUCAGAGACACCGUAUACAUGACAAUAGACCAUCGAGAAAACGUCUAAGAUUGGUCAACGCAGUUCUGAUUCUUGUAAAUACAUGUUUUUGAGCUUCUUUCCAUUCGCAACGUCGCGAUAAUGAUUUUGACCAAAUUUUUGAUAAUCGUCGCUAUUUUGUCGUUUAACUAAUUGUAAGAUUCUACUUAAUAUACAAUUUCCAGUAAGAAUACUACUAUUACUACUACUACUACUACUUAUCGUUAGAAUCCGAUUCAUGAGAACGCGUAUUGCUUACAACAGUUCCAUUCACACGGAGUUUUUCUUCGUAGUUAUCAAAUAAGAAUAAAUAGUAGUUAUUUAGGGUUCAUACUCCGCGACGAGCUCGGAACAGUGCAUGUUUGUCCUCGAUGUUAAAGCAUAUGGUAAUCCGCUAUUCUAAAGCUUAUGUUAGUUAUAUCUAACGAUAUAGUGUCUUUUUAUAUGCAUUGAAGAAAGUUCCUUUAUCUUCUUACCGCUUGAAAGAUGAUUUAUUAGAGAAAGAAAAAAAUUCCAAAACAUACAGAUAACGAUUCAGAUAUAUUACAAAUGGAUAAAAAAUUUCUAUUUAUCAUUUCCUGCAAAUAGCAAUAAGUUCUUGAACGUCUCGUCUCGAAGAAUCUCACGAAGAUACAAUUUUAUAAGGAAAAAUCAAAUUAUUUGAAGAAAAUACGUCGUCGAUGGUCAAACCGUCGCGAUAAUCUUUGACUUUCGAAAAGGAAAAAUUUCUCAUCGUACGUUACAACUUUCUACUAUGUUCUAUCGCGUAAGUAUUAUUGGUAAAUAUGAAAAAAAAGGUUUAUUUGCAUUUACGAGAAUAUAUUACAAAUAUAUUACAAAAAUAAUGAAUAUUACCUUUUUAUAUUAAAUCCAAGCGUCAUCAGAUUUGUAAUCAUUUCAAAUUAAACAAAUUUGUAUCCACGUAUAAUUGUCGUUCUAUUGCGAUAAUUAUUUCCCUAUCGAUAUUUAUAAAUAAAUCGAUUAUAAACGAGUUGGUUAGAUUAAAAAUCAUAUCUCGUAGUUUAUAAACCUCGAAUGUAACGAUAUGAGUCAGGAACUCGAUAAUCAUGUACUACACAGAAUGACACCUACGCGACGUCGCGUGUCAAUGACACAAAAUAGCGUAUGCCUAAACGUGAAAGUGGUACGUGCAGGUUCUAACUAACGGAUGUAAUCGAGGAAAUCGUGAAUUAAGUAUGUAUGAUGAGUAUCUCAACCCUUCGUUGGAGAGCUUCGUAACGGAACACCAAUUCUGCUGUCGAGAGCGACAUAACUGUUCCUUUUUAGUACGUUAAGUUCAUUUAACGACACAGCAGCAUUUAUACGACAAAUUAUAAUCAAUACAAAAUAAAUAACAAAAUGAUGUUACAUUCGUUAAGUAACAUUACUAGCUAGGGAGUAACUCAUCUUACUAACUGCUUCGCAAUUAACUGAAACCGAACAUGCAAUUCAAACAUGGCCAGACUUCGUAAGUACAAUGCACCGUGCAUCGUAUCUAAACACUGUAACUGCGUUUACUUAUCACGUUUCAAAAGAAUGAGAGAAAGAGAGAGAGAGAGAGACAAACAGAGACAGAGAGAAAAAACAAUCAGAAGAAAUUUAUACGAUCUCACGAAGAAGAAUGACGUUAAAAAACGAGACUUUAUUAAAGCUCAGAAAAA
rnacentral:lncRNA from 1 species